rnacentral:pre_miRNA from 1 species
CAUAUACUCCCUCCGUUCCGAAUUACUUGUCGCGGGUAUGGAUGUAUCUAGAUGUAUUUUAGUUCUAGAUACAUCCAUUUCUGCGACGAGUAAUUUGGAACGGAGGGAGUAACAG